rnacentral:rRNA from 1 species
CCUACGGGAGGCAGCAGUGGGGAAUAUUGGGCAAUGGGCGCAAGCCUGACCCAGCAACGCCGCGUGAAGUAAGAAGGCUUUCGGGUUGUAAACUUCUUUUGUCAGGGAAGAGUAGAAGACGGUACCUGACGAAUAAGCCACGGCUAACUACGUGCCAUCAGCCGCGGUAAUACGUAGGUGGCAAGCGUUGUCCGGAUUUACUGGGUGUAAAGGGCGUGUAGCCGGGUUGACAAGUCAGAUGUGAAAUCCUGCGGCUUAACCGCAGAACUGCAUUUGAAACUGUUGAUCUUGAGUACUGGAGAGGCAGACGGAAUUCCGAGUGUAGCGGUGAAAUGCGUAGAUAUUAGGAGGAACACCAGUGGCGAAGGCGGUCUGCUGGACAGCAACUGACGGUGAGGCGCGAAAGCGUGGGGAGCAAACAGGAUUAGAUACCCGAGUAGUC